UGGCGGCGUUGCCUUUAUCAUGCAUCCCGAGCGAACUGAAUUAGAAGCUUGCUUCUACCACGUUAGCGGCGGACGGGUGAGUAACACGUGGGCAACCUGCCUGUAAGACUGGGAUAACUUCGGGAAACCGAAGCUAAUACCGGAUAGGAUCUUCUCCUUCAUGGGAGAUGAUUGAAAGAUGGUUUCGGCUAUCACUUACAGAUGGGCCCGCGGUGCAUUAGCUAGUUGGUGAGGUAACGGCUCACCAAGGCAACGAUGCAUAGCCGACCUGAGAGGGUGAUCGGCCACACUGGGACUGAGACACGGCCCAGACUCCUACGGGAGGCAGCAGUAGGGAAUCUUCCGCAAUGGACGAAAGUCUGACGGAGCAACGCCGCGUGAGUGAUGAAGGCUUUCGGGUCGUAAAACUCUGUUGUUAGGGAAGAACAAGUACAAGAGUAACUGCUUGUACCUUGACGGUACCUAACCAGAAAGCCACGGCUAACUACGUGCCAGCAGCCGCGGUAAUACGUAGGUGGCAAGCGUUAUCCGGAAUUAUUGGGCGUAAAGCGCGCGCAGGCGGUUUCUUAAGUCUGAUGUGAAAGCCCACGGCUCAACCGUGGGAGGGUCAUUGGAAAACUGGGGAACUUGAGUGCAGAAGAGAAAAGCGGAAUUCCACGUGUACCGGUUAAAAUGCGUAAAGAUGUGGAAGGAACACCCAGUGGCGAAGGCGGGCUUUUUGGGUCUGUAACUGAACCCUGAGGCGCGAAAGCCU
rnacentral:rRNA from 1 species